rnacentral:lncRNA from 1 species
CCAUUAUUAAUGUAGGUCGAAUAACGGUCAUCCGGUAUUUCUUUUCCGAUGCAUCCUCCUACAAUCUACUACUACAUUAUGCUAAUCCGAAAUCAAACUUUCCGCCGAAAUUUGAAACUACGACAAGAAUAAUUCUAGGGUUUGCGGCAUUCAAAAAGUCAUUUCCUAACAUUUUCCCGUAACCAAACAGGAUUACAAACAACAAAAAUGCGGAAACUACGUUUGCUUACCGAACCAGGCUUGAAGGAGUCGACGUAGCUGUCCGUAGUGUAGGUCAUACGGGGGCGCAUGUAGGGAUCGCAAGACAAGUAGAGGUUCUUCACCAGCACGGCCUUCGAACCUUCUGGAACCUUGAGGCUUAUCGUGGAAGUAGUGAUGUACAUGUCGGCAUCUGUGGGAAAACCAGAGAUGUAGUCUUUGAAAAUCACCUGCUUGUUGCUCACUUCCGCCAUUGUUACCUGCCAAGCUUUUUCUCUGCUCUUCCGAGAUGGAUAAUAUCUGUCACCAGGGCCGAUGGUUGAUGGCGAGCCUAUUUAAUAUUUAUAGAAAAAAAUCUACCGAAGAUUAAAUUUUAAAAUUUAAAAAAAAAAAAAAAAAAACCCGAAAAUACACCCACGAUGAGGUGUCCUGAGACAUUUAUAGCGUCAUUUAAUGUUUCAUAUUUUAACAUUCACUUUUCGUAGAUUUUUACAAAAAAAAAAAAAAAAAAAAGAAGGGAAAAAUGGAAGAAAACUUUAAUCUAAUUACAAUUUUAAGAAAUUUAAUAAUUUUUCCAAUUUUUAGAAUUAUUAAAUUUCAUAUUUAUAGCUUCUUUUUUUUUCCUUAUAUAUUUUUUAUGAAAUUUAAAAUUUGUUAAUAAGAAAAAAAACCAUUAAUGGAAAUAAUUAAAAGGAUGGUAAGUUAAUGAUAGUUGACUUUCAAUCCAUUUGUAAUUUUUCUCUUUUUAGAAUUAUUAAAGUUUAUAUUUAUAACUUUUUUUAAUUCUAUAAAAUUUUAAAUUUUUGUUGUUAUUUUUUAAUAUUUUGAUUAUUUACCAUUUUUUUGAGAUUUGUAAACCGUGAUGUGUUUACAAAUAAGUUACAAAAUAAAAUGAAAAUAUUUGAAGAAGGGUUUUGGAUUACUCAUGCUUUUAUUUGGUUGAAAUAUAGAGAUUUUAAAAUAAAUUUAGGUUAUUGCUAUAUUAAAUAAGUAAUAUUUUAAUUUCUAAAAUAUAACUUAAUGGACCAUAUUUUGAUUGGUUAAAUAGACGAAGUCAUUAUUGAUUUCAAAUUUCGUGAAUGUUAAUUCUUAUAAUAAUUUUUUUUAUAAAAUUAAUUUUUUUUAGGAAAUUAUUAAAGAAGCUUACCUAAAAUAUUUUUAUUGAUAAAAUCUCUUUAAAAAUAAAUUUUAUAAAUGGAAUAAAUUUAUAAGAAUGAAAUAAUUCCCAAUUUGAAAAUUUAACCUUCCAUUUUUGUUUUCAGUUUAAAAAAUAUCCAUUUUUGAUAUAAAAAAAAAAUACUCUCAUUUUUUCCUUAUAAAAAUAUCAUUCUCUUUUAAAACUUCCAUUUAAAUAUUCCAAGUGUUGAAAGAUAUUUAUGUAAUUUUCAAAUUCAAAUACGAGAAAGAUUAGAUUUACAAAUUUAAAAUAAUUUCAUUCCUUUUAAUUAAUUAAUUCUAUUUAUUACAAAUAAACAUCCAUCAAUUAAAUCCUAAAAGCUAUUGAGUUGUUUGUCAAAAAAGAAAAAACCAAAAAAAGCAGAAGUUUAAAAAUGUAUUUUGCUCCAAAACAAUAACUAAAUAGCGAAUAUUAAAAUAUAAUGUGUUUUGCAUUUCAUUUUUUUAAUUCUUGGUACAAAUAUGAUGGAAAAUAAAAUUUUUGAAUAUGCAUAUCUUAUCAUUGUUAAGAGUGUCUAAUACUUGUCCGAGUCUUUAGGCUCGCUCUCAGCUCAUUUAGUUGUAAUGUUAAACUCUUGUACAAUACAUUCAAUCGUAACAUAUUACACCCCUCAAUUGUAAUAUUUUGGUAUAAAACAAUAUAAAUGAUACAUUCUUCGGUGUCCGGUCGAACACUUUCAGUCCAUUUAGUCAUUAGACUCAUUACUUUACAAUUAUGUCAACUAAUAAGGUUUUUGACAAAAUUUAAGAAACACUUCUAAAAAUUUUUGAAAAUCACUUAUAUUGUUUCCGGAAUAGGAUGAUUCUUGUGAAAAUAAUUUUAGAGAAAAUAAUAAAGGCACUCUAAAUAUAGCAUUAAUGGAUAAGCAAUAUCUGGCAUUGAUAUAAUUUGUUAAACCCUCAACAGAAUGCACAUAACAUUAUGUGUUAUUUUUUGAAGAGGAGAGCAGCAGGAGAAUUAGUAUGGAUAAUAUUCCAUGAAGUCCAUAAGAAAAAGAUGUAAGAAUAAGACAAAUCAUUCCCUAGAAACUACUACGACCUGUUUUCCAACAUUGGCCCCAGAGAAGAGGCCAAUAAGAGCCUGUGGAGCAUUCUCAAGGCCUUCAACUGUGUCUUCCACGUACACAAUCUUCCCUUCCUUGAUGUGGGGCAGAACCAUCUCCAUGUACUUGGGAUAGAGGUGGUAGUAGCUCCGGACCAGAAACCCUUGUAUUUUAACUUGUUUUAUGAUGAUAGAAAUCAAGUUGCAUAGACCCUCAGGCUUCUCCAUAUUGUACUGUGAAAUCAUCCCACAGACGGCUAUGCGGCCAUGGGAUCUCAUCCUGGGGAGCACUGCAUCAAGCAUCUCUCCCCCAACAUUGUCGAAGUAAAUAUCAAUACCUUCAGGGAAGUACCUGGAGAUUGGGAAAUUCUACUUCAGAGAGGAAAAGCAAACCAGGGAGAAAAAGAAAGGGAAGUAGUUGCUAGAAAUGGUGAGAACUGGAAAACGAAACUAACCUCUUCAAACAUGAAGCCAAAUCUGGCUCUUCUUUGUAGUUGAAAGCAUCAUCAAACCCAAACUUGUCCUUCAAUAGAUCAACCUGCGUUCAAGCAAUGAUAAAACAAAAGAAAAUUAGAGAUGCUAGUCAAUUAUUGUAGCUGAAUCUACUCUUAAGCAAAAUAAUGGCCAAUGCCUAUGAUGAACUUGUCUAUCUAAAAAUACAUGGAAUGGCUAUGCUUUACCUUUUCUUUCGUUCCAGCACUUCCAACAACAUAGCAACCUAACAACUUUGCAAACUGCCCAACAAGCUGACCCACUGCUCCUGAUGCAGAUGAAACAUAGACAUAUUCCCCCUUCUUAGGAGUGCAAAUCUCGUAAAAACCAGCAUAAGCAGUCAUACCGGGCAUACCUACAAAGUACAGAGCCAAAACAAUUAAGAGGACAAUGAAAAUCACGGUAGGAGACAGCACAAUUCAGACCAUUGCUCGUGUCUAGGUUGUGCUUGUAACCAAAGAAUUUCCGAGCGCAAAUCUGAAGAAACCAGCUUACUUACCAAGAAUCCCUAUAUAGUAUGAAAGGGGCACAUCAGUGGUGGGAAUCUUAAACAGAGUCUCUGUUGAUGUCAUAAGAGUGUACUCUUCCCAUCCGGUGAACCCCCAAAUCAAGUCACCUUUGCUGAAGUUGGGAUGCCCAGAGUCCAAAACUUUUGCCACUCCAAAUCCAUUUAAAACCUGUGUAAUUUUAAGAUGAGAAGUCAGUUGUGAUUCCAUCCAAGACCAAACAAAAAAACUUCCAAUCUAAAAUCAUUUCAAACCCAAUUGUUUACAACAUCAGCAGUAUCAAAUGCUAUAAAAUUCCUGUUUCAUUUUCAUUAAUCUAGUGGAGAAGGUCAAAUCGUCACCGUUUUCUGUUGCCAGUUUCUUCAAUAUUGGAUCGUAUUAUAUUUCCACCCUUCUUUGGAAGAGAACAGUUUCUAAAUUUCAAAAACAUCUUAAUAAAUUUUAGAUUGAAUAUAUAUAUAUAUAUAUAUAUUGAGAAUUUGUUCCAAAAACAAUGAUUUCUGACAACAAGUUUAAGAAGUUUUCAAGAGUUCUUUCAAAGUGUUGCAAAAAAUAAUUGCAAAUAUGGAGAAUAAAUCUGAAGCUUUUGUAUUGUAUAUGUAUGGUAUAAUAUAAUAUGCUAAAAAACUUGUUUUCAUUUUUGAGUUGUAAUCAAAGUUACAUCAGUCAAAACAACUUCCUUUAACCUGUUUUUAAUAUUUUUAAAUAUAUUUAUACAAUUAUUUUUUAAAACAGUUAUAAAAAAAUAAGUUAAAACAAUUAAAAGAUGUUAUCUAAAAGCAUUUUAUUUUCUGUUUUUUAUUGUUAAAAGUGUGUUUUAUUUUUUUUCCUAAAAAGCAAAAGACUAUUCUUAAAAAAAAUUGAUAAACAAACCCAUUUUUUUAUGUUUUAUAAAAUUAUUUGGAACUUUUAAUAUUUGAAAAUGUGUUUUAAUAAUAAUUUUUAUCUAAUAUUAUAUUUUUAAUCAUUACACCUUUUCACGAUAAAAAUAAGUAAAAACAAUUAAAAGAUAUUUUUCAAAACAUCAUAUUUUUUAUUUUAAAAAAAAUAAUUUUCAUUGUUUUCUUGUUUUCUUCAAAGACUAAAAAAUUGUUAUUAAAACAACCCUCAAAUAUAAUCUUAAAUUUUAUAUUUAAUAUUUUAAUCAUUUCCCAUAUUUAUAUAAUUAUUUUGAAAACAGUUAGGAGAACAGUUUACAAAAUCCAAGAUUUUCAAAAUUUUCGCUCAAAUAUUUUAUUUGCCUCUUAUUCCUUUUGGCGUUUGUAUACCGAUAUGUCCGCCAAUAAAAUUUAUUACACGAAAUAUCGGCCGGUGAAUUUCAUCCACCAUCCCAAAGUUCUCAUUUUCCCGCAGAGAUCAAAGUUUCCCUAAAUAAUCAGUUAAAUUCAAAACUACAGACAAAAAAACUAGGGAUUGAAACAUUCGAAAAUUCAUUUCCUAGCAUUUUCUCGGGAACCAAACAGGAGAACACGAUAACAAAAAUAACUAAACGGCGGUAGCUUACAGAACCGGGCUUGAAGGAUCCGAUGUAGCUGGUGUGAGUGUAGGUCAUACGGGCGCGCAUGUAGGGAUCGCAGGACAAGUAGAGGUUCUUCACCAGCACGGCCUGGGAACCUUCUGGAAC